rnacentral:rRNA from 1 species
UACGUAGGGGGCAAGCGUUGUCCGGAAUCAUUGGGCGUAAAGCGCGUGUAGGCGGCUCGAUAAGUCUGCUGUGAAAGUCCAAGGCUCAACCUUGGGAUGCCGGUGGAUACUGUCGAGCUCGAGUCCGGAAGAGGAGUGUGGAAUUCCUGGUGUAGCGGUGAAAUGCGCAGAUAUCAGGAGGAACACCUGUGGUGUAGACGGCUCUCUGGACCGCAACUGACGCUGAGACACGAAAGCGUGGGUAGCAAACAGG